UGGGGAAUAUUGGGCAAUGAGCGCAAGCCUGACCCAGCAACGCCGCGUGAAGGAAGAAGGCUUUCGGGUUGUAAACUUCUUUUCUCAGGGACGAAGCAAGUGACGGUACCUGAGGAAUAAGCCACGGCUAACUACGUGCCAGCAGCCGCGGUAAUACGUAGGUGGCAAGCGUUAUCCGGAUUUACUGGGUGUAAAGGGCGUGUAGGCGGGAAAGCAAGUCAGAUGUGAAAACCAUGGGCUCAACCUGUGGCCUGCAUUUGAAACUGUUUUUCUUGAGUACUGGAGAGGCAGACGGAAUUCCUAGUGUGAGCGGAUGAAAUGCGUAGAUAUUGAGGAGGCAAGCACCGAGUGGCGAAGGCGGUCUGCUGGACAGCAACUGACGCUGAGGCGCGAAAGCGUGGGGAGCAAACAGGAUUAGAUACCC
rnacentral:rRNA from 1 species